ACCCUUGAUGGCCUGGAAAACGGAAAUAUUUCUUCACUCUCCCCUGCUGGUUUAAAGCACCAAGAAGCCUGGAGUCAUCUUCCCUCGGUAUUUUGUACAGUACAGAUGUUUACAGCAAUGUUUCUCCGACCUCCAGUCUCCACAGCUGGCUUGUUCAUAGCACUCCAAACGCCACGGGGCCGAUCGCACCUUGCUUCAGAUGCUGGCUGUGUGACUUCAAGCAUGUCAUUUGACUACACUGAACUUCCGGUAUCCUCAUCUAUCAGUGGGACCACAGCAUCUCCUCUGAGGGUGUCCGUGAGGCAUGUGAAAGAGCAGACAACAAGCAGCCUACUGCAGAGUCUAGCACAUCAUGAGAGCUCCAACAUUUGUUGCUAUGGUUUCACUUUGAGAAAUAUCAGGGAAAUAAUACAGGUCCAUGUAGAAGCAUAAGACUACAGAGUGAAGGGGAGACAGAGGCCUGCUUUUUUGGGGUAAGUACAAACCCUCUAAAUCUGCCAUUUCCAUACAGCAACACAGAACAAUCCUGCUAACUUAUGGCUUGAUGUUCACAAAGCAGAAACAUCUGGACUGCAAAGUAUUCAUGUCAUGUGACUUUACCACCUGAUUGCUAAUGAGACAUCCAAAGGAUGCUAAACACCUGCUAAGUGCUAGAGAUUACAAAAACCAACAAAUGCCACAGAGCCCCUGAUCAUAAACAAUUGAUAGUUGUUUGACAACUAGAGAAGUAUAGUAUUUAAAAAUUGUCUCCUCUAAUCUUCACAUAAGAAAAAAAGCCUUUGUCAUACGUUCUUUGGCUUUUUUUUUUUUGGUUUUUUUUUUUUGGUUUUUCUCCGGUACCGGGAACCGAACUCACGACCUUGCGCUUGCCAGGCAGGCGCUUUUGCCGCUGAGCUAAAUCCCCAGCCCCCGUUCUUUGGCUUUAUAAUAUGUAUAAAGAUAUCUUGUGUAUCUGUGACCCCAAUGCAAACUGGGUUUUUGUUGUUUUGUUAACAAACUGGGUUGUGAUCACAGCUCUGGCACCCAGGAGUUUAUAAUCUAUGGGUUCUACUAGCUCUGGAGCCUGCAAAAUAAAGAUAACAUUGAACCCAAGAAAAACAGGGGAGCCUAGGUACUCCGACAUCUCAUGAGAAAGGCCCUAUGGUAUUUUUUAAAAAGGCCUGAUCAUGAUUCUAAUACCAGAGGUGCUUUUCCAUCAGCACAAAAGCUAAAACUAGAACAAAACCGGGAAGGUUAUCAUAGCCACUUUUUAAAGAAUCAUAUGCAAAUCUAUAAGGUAUUUUCUAUAAUGAUCAACAUGAUUUGCUCCUUCAUUUCUUUUUUUCCUGCCCCUUAUCUAUAUCUUGAUCAUAAUUUUCAUUACAUUGUGCCAUAAUUAUGUGAUUACAUAUGAUACUUCUAGAAAAACUUCCUGACCUUUUUUGCAUAUCUGCACAAAAAAUAUUUGCUCACUGAUGUGCUACUUAACUCUCGCCUGACUUGACGAUACAAAUCCUCAAAGCUAAAGUCUAUGAAUUACUGGAAUUCAAGCAAGUCCAGAUACAUACCACACCCUCUAUCUAUUUUUACUUCCCACAUAAAAAUAGUUCAUGGUUUGUUUUCAAUUGUGAGACAGACUUCUGCCUGCAGUUACUUUACGUAGCCAAGUUAUACUUAAAGUGAUCUGGAAAAAAAAAAAAAGGGUGGUGCGCAGGGAACGAGUGUGCUGUGGAAAAGCUGACAUAGCCACACAAUCCGCAUGUGUGCGAAAACAUAAAACCAAAAACAGUUUCCACUGGCAAGAAUGUGAAUCACGGAGGGGCUGUGCAAGCCGGGCCCCCAGCACCCCCUUCCAUGCACCCUCCGCAAAGACAAAUUUCUUUCUUUUUUUUUUUUUUUUUGGUUUUUCUCAGGUACCGGGAACCGAACUCACGACCUUGUACUUGCCAGGCAGGUGCUUUUGCCAAGACAAAUUUAUUUCUGAGUUAGACUAGAAUGACUGCUGCAGCAGAGUGGUGGUAUGGAAUGGCCUGGUUUCCAGCCAUACAAGGCCGUAUACUGGCGGCACCCAGACGAGAAUGUAAGACCUGCUCCACUGAUGUCCACGUCAUACCAUCUCUGCCAACACAGUGUCUGGUCACAAUAACGCAGAAUAAGGGGAGCACAUGUAACACUAUGAGGCCCCACAGAAAAACACCAGUUAGUGACUGCUGUCUGAUCUCCAUGGAUAAAUAUCUGAACCAUCUAACUACUGGAUCCAAGCUUAUUAACUAGCCACAAACUAGGGAAAUCUUUCGAAGUUAACAGUGUUGUAACCCUAAUAUUCUUUGAGGCUGACAUUACCCUGCAGCUGCCGCUCUUCCGGUUC
ensembl:lincRNA